AAUGUAAACACGCAGACUAGAACAUGCACCAUCCUGAGUAUUUGGACACCGUUGGGAUUUUGGAUGGACGGACUCCACUUUCAAAGACCCCGCAGCGGGAGGCAAAGAGAACACCGAGGAGGCCCUGAUCCCGGAGUCAGAUAAAGGAGAGAUUCAAGAAUUGCUAUUGGGACAACUGACUGGCCAUGAAGAGAAAAAUCCAUAUUUACCUCGGAUAGAUCAAAUUGUUACAUAUGCAAAAUUCAUAAGUAAAGAAGUAAAUACACCAGAACAAAUAUGAGUAAAUGCCUUUUGAUCUUGGGUGGGAAAAGGCCUAAGAGUGACAAAAACUCCAGAAACGACAAAUGUAAAUUUGGCUCAUGAAACCAACAGUUAUUGAGUGCUCAUUAUGUGCUGGUUCUGGUCUAGACCCAGAAUCUCAGAGUUGGCCGAAGGAGGUUUUGGGAGCUGGGCUGUCACACCCUCACAGGUCAGAUCGUGCCGGGGCUGCCCUGAGGGCCUUAAGCCCCAGGCGCUUGGGGUUCCCUGGGAGAGAAAGCAGAGCAGCCCCAGUGACCCGGGACAGGUGCCAACCACUGAAGGCCAAAGCGCAUCAAACCUCAGAGAGGGAGCCCCAGAAACGGUACAGGGGAGCUUAGGGGGCCUGCCUCUGGGUUUGCCCUUCUCAGCCUGUCCCUGCUCUGCUCUCCUUCUCUGACUCGCUCCCCACAAGGCUCCAUCUUUGGUCUGCCUUUUCUCUUCUCUGCAGGUAGAAGUGCAAAACAACUCAAGCCAGCUUAAGCAUCCCUGGGGACUGUCUUGAUGCAUGAAACCAAACCGGGUUCCCUGCCUGGGCGGGAGAGGUCUCAGAGCAGAGCCCCUGAAGGAAGGUGCUGGAGGGCCCUAGAAGGAGGCUGUGCACUGCAGCUGCCCCUCCCGUGACCGGAAGACCAAGGUGUUGUUAGGAAAGCCAGAGACUCCCUUAGGUCCCCAGACGCCCAGUCUGGUCUUCCCCGCUCAGAUGCCCACGACAUCGUUCUGAAGGGCUUCCGGACAGCUAUUCCUUUUGCUCCAAUGACGUCCUGAUCCCUCCUUUCCAAGACUCCCCAUCACACCUGGGUCCCUCCCACCAAAUGCCUCUGUCCUCUGACACCAGGGACUUCCCAGGCACCAUUUCCCUCUGCCCUUAUCCCCAGGGAUGCGUCCUAACGGGCCCCACAUGGGACAUGUGUGAGGCAUCCUUCCCACCUAGAGACACUUGGCUCCCAAG